UUGCUUCUUCAGCACAUAUGCUAAAUACAAUGAUGCAGCAAAGCUUACCAUGGACACCGUGCAAGGAUGGCAUGCAACUCUGUGGAGAAUUCCAUUUUAAU
rnacentral:snRNA from 1 species